rnacentral:rRNA from 1 species
AUUGAACGCUGGCGGCAGGCCUAACACAUGCAAGUCGAGCGGAUGACGGGAGCUUGCUCCUUGAUUCAGCGGCGGACGGGUGAGUAACGCCUAGGAAUCUGCCUGGUAGUGGGGGACAACGUUUCGAAAGGAACGCUAAUACCGCAUACGUCCUACGGGAGAAAGCAGGGGACCUUCGGGCCUUGCGCUAUCAGAUGAGCCUAGGUCGGAUUAGCUAGUUGGUGGGGUAAUGGCUCACCAAGGCGACGAUCCGUAACUGGUCUGAGAGGAUGAUUAGUCACACUGGAACUGAGACACGGUCCAGACUCCUACGGGAGGCAGCAGUGGGGAAUAUUGGACAAUGGGCGAAAGCCUGAUCCAGCCAUGCCGCGUGUGUGAAGAAGGUCUUCGGAUUGUAAAGCACUUUGAGUUGGGAGGAAGGGCAGUAAGUUAAUACCUUGCUGUUUUGACGUUACCGACAGAAUAAGCACCGGCUAACUCUGUGCCAGCAGCCG